rnacentral:rRNA from 1 species
UACGAAGGGGGCUAGCGUUGCUCGGAAUCACUGGGCGUAAAGGGCGCGUAGGCGGCCGAUCAAGUCAGGGGUGAAAGCCUGUGGCUCAACCACAGAAUUGCCUUUGAUACUGUUUGGCUCGAGACCGGAAGAGGUUGGUGGAACUGCGAGUGUAGAGGUGAAAUUCGUAGAUAUUCGCAAGAACACCAGUGGCGAAGGCGGCCAACUGGUCCGGAUCUGACGCUGAGGCGCGAAAGCCAGGGGAGCAAACGGG